GGGUUGUGAGGUUAAGCGACUAAGCGUACACGGUGGAUGCCCUGGCAGUCAGAGGCGAUGAAGGACGUGCUAAUCUGCGAAAAGCGUCGGUAAGGUGAUAUGAACCGUUAUAACCGGCGAUGUCCGAAUGGGGAAACCCAGUGCAAUUCGUUGCACUAUCGUUAACUGAAUACAUAGGUUAACGAGGCGAACCGGGGGAACUGAAACAUCUAAGUACCCCGAGGAAAAGAAAUCAACCGAGAUUCCCCCAGUAGCGGCGAGCGAACGGGGAGCAGCCCAGAGUCUGAAUCAGCUUGUGUGUUAGUGGAACGGUCUGGAAAGUCCGACGGUACAGGGUGAUAGUCCCGUACACCAAAAUGCACAGGUUGUGAACUCGAAGAGUAGGGCGGGACACGUGGUAUCCUGUCUGAAUAUGGGGGGACCAUCCUCCAAGGCUAAAUACUCCUGACUGACCGAUAGUGAACCAGUACCGUGAGGGAAAGGCGAAAAGAACCCCGGCGAGGGGAGUGAAAAAGAACCUGAAACCGUGUACGUACAAGCAGUGGGAGCACCUUCGGGUGUGACUGCGUACCUUUUGUAUAAUGGGUCAGCGACUUAUAUUCUGUAGCAAGGUUAACCGUAUAGGGGAGCCGCAGGGAAACCGAGUCUUAACUGGGCGUUAAGUUGCAGGGUAUAGACCCGAAACCCGGUGAUCUAGCCAUGGGCAGGUUGAAGGUUGGGUAACACUAACUGGAGGACCGAACCGACUAAUGUUGAAAAAUUAGCGGAUGACUUGUGGCUGGGGGUGAAAGGCCAAUCAAACCGGGAGAUAGCUGGUUCUCCCCGAAAGCUAUUUAGGUAGCGCCUCGUGAAUUCAUCUUCGGGGGUAGAGCACUGUUUCGGCUAGGGGGUCAUCCCGACUUACCAACCCGAUGCAAACUACGAAUACCGAAGAAUGUUAUCACGGGAGACACACGGCGGGUGCUAACGUCCGUCGUGAAGAGGGAAACAACCCAGACCGCCAGCUAAGGUCCCAAAGUCAUGGUUAAGUGGGAAACGAUGUGGGAAGGCACAGACAGCCAGGAUGUUGGCUUAGAAGCAGCCAUCAUUUAAAGAAAGCGUAAUAGCUCACUGGUCGAGUCGGCCUGCGCGGAAGAUGUAACGGGGCUAAACCAUGCACCGAAGCUGCGGCAGCGACACUAUGUGUUGUUGGGUAGGGGAGCGUUCUGUAAGCCUGCGAAGGUGACCUGUGAGGGUUGCUGGAGGUAUCAGAAGUGCGAAUGCUGACAUAAGUAACGAUAAAGCGGGUGAAAAGCCCGCUCGCCGGAAGACCAAGGGUUCCUGUCCAACGUUAAUCGGGGCAGGGUGAGUCGACCCCUAAGGCGAGGCCGAAAGGCGUAGUCGAUGGGAAACAGGUUAAUAUUCCUGUACUUGGUGUUACUGCGAAGGGGGGACGGAGAAGGCUAUGUUAGCCGGGCGACGGUUGUCCCGGUUUAAGCAUGUAGGCUGGUUGUCCAGGCAAAUCCGGAUAAUCAAGGCUGAGGUGUGAUGACGAGGCACUACGGUGCUGAAGUAACAAAUGCCCUGCUUCCAGGAAAAGCCUCUAAGCAUCAGGUAACAUCAAAUCGUACCCCAAACCGACACAGGUGGUCAGGUAGAGAAUACCAAGGCGCUUGAGAGAACUCGGGUGAAGGAACUAGGCAAAAUGGUGCCGUAACUUCGGGAGAAGGCACGCUGGUGUGUAGGUGAAGCCCCUGCGGGUGGAGCUGAGACCAGUCGAAGAUACCAGCUGGCUGCAACUGUUUAUUAAAAACACAGCACUGUGCAAACACGAAAGUGGACGUAUACGGUGUGACGCCUGCCCGGUGCCGGAAGGUUAAUUGAUGGGGUUAUCCGUAAGGAGAAGCUCUUGAUCGAAGCCCCGGUAAACGGCGGCCGUAACUAUAACGGUCCUAAGGUAGCGAAAUUCCUUGUCGGGUAAGUUCCGACCUGCACGAAUGGCGUAAUGAUGGCCAGGCUGUCUCCACCCGAGACUCAGUGAAAUUGAACUCGCUGUGAAGAUGCAGUGUACCCGCGGCAAGACGGAAAGACCCCGUGAACCUUUACUAUAGCUUGACACUGAACAUUGAGCCUUGAUGUGUAGGAUAGGUGGGAGGCUUUGAAGCGUGGACGCCAGUCUGCGUGGAGCCAACCUUGAAAUACCACCCUUUAAUGUUUGAUGUUCUAACGUUGGCCCCUGACCGGGGUUGCGGACAGUGUCUGGUGGGUAGUUUGACUGGGGCGGUCUCCUCCCAAAGCGUAACGGAGGAGCACGAAGGUUAGCUAAUCCUGGUCGGACAUCAGGAGGUUAGUGCAAUGGCAUAAGCUAGCUUGACUGCGAGCGUGACGGCGCGAGCAGGUGCGAAAGCAGGUCAUAGUGAUCCGGUGGUUCUGAAUGGAAGGGCCAUCGCUCAACGGAUAAAAGGUACUCCGGGGAUAACAGGCUGAUACCGCCCAAGAGUUCAUAUCGACGGCGGUGUUUGGCACCUCGAUGUCGGCUCAUCACAUCCUGGGGCUGAAGUAGGUCCCAAGGGUAUGGCUGUUCGCCAUUUAAAGUGGUACGCGAGCUGGGUUUAGAACGUCGUGAGACAGUUCGGUCCCUAUCUGCCGUGGGCGCUGGAGAAUUGAGGGGGGCUGCUCCUAGUACGAGAGGACCGGAGUGGACGCAUCACUGGUGUUCGGGUUGUCAUGCCAAUGGCACUGCCCGGUAGCUAAAUGCGGAAGAGAUAAGUGCUGAAAGCAUCUAAGCACGAAACUUGCCCCGAGAUGAGUUCUCCCUGAGACUUUAAGUCUCCUGAAGGAACGUUAAAGACGAUGACGUUGAUAGGCCGGGUGUGUAAGCGCAGCGAUGCGUUGAGCUAACCGGUACUAAUGAACCGUGAGGCUUAACCUUACAACGCCGAAG
rnacentral:rRNA from 1 species